rnacentral:lncRNA from 1 species
GAAGAGCAAGGGCAAAGGUUGGAGAAGAGAAAAGCUUGGAGCUUAGAGAUUGCCGGAUUAACUCAGGUAAGGGGGGUUUAUCGUCGUUUAAUGGGUAUUAUGGAUUAGCAUGUAAUGGGUAGUGAUAAACCGUUGAAUUGACCCUAAUUGGGAUUGUGAAUGCUGAAAAUUACGUUGGAUAAACUGUGUUAAAAACUGUAAUUGAAUCGAUAGUCGUGUGAGUCGUAAUUUGCUGGACGUAUAGCUUGUU